UAUUUACGAGUAAAUUAGUAUUUUCUAUUAAAAACUGGUGUGGUUAACGAAAUAAACAAACAAUUAUAUGUAAUGUGUUACGUGUACCUUAUGCUGACUUACAAGAAUCAGUUUUUAACAAUAAAAAUGAAUGUAAUUUUCAAUA
rfam:Gossypium hirsutum cultivar TM-1 unplaced genomic scaffold scaffold304.1, whole genome shotgun sequence